rnacentral:rRNA from 1 species
CCUACGGGGGGCAGCAGUGAGGAAUAUUGGUCAAUGGGCGCGAGCCUGAACCAGCCAAGUCGCGUGAGGGAAGACGGUCCUAUGGAUUGUAAACCUCUUUUGUCGGGGAUCAAAAGACGCCACGCGUGGCGUUCCGAGAGUACUCGAUGAAAAAGCAUCGGCUAACUCCGUGCCAGCAGCCGCGGUAAUACGGAGGAUGCGAGCGUUAUCCGGAUUUAUUGGGUUAAAGGGGGGCGAAGGCGGAAGAUCAAGUCAGCGGUAAAAUUGAGGGGCUCAACCUCUUAGAGCCGUUGAAACUGGUUUUCUUGAGUGCAUGAGAGGUAUGCGGAAUGCGUGGUGUAGCGGUGAAAUGCAUAGAUAUCACGCAGAACUCCGAUUGCGAAGGCAGCAUACCGGCGCUCAACUGACACUGAUGCACGAAAGUGUGGGUAUCGAACAGGAUUAGAUACCCGAGUAGUC